rnacentral:rRNA from 1 species
AAAUUGAAGAGUUUGAUCAUGGCUCAGAUUGAACGCUGGCGGCAGGCCUAACACAUGCAAGUCGAACGGUAGCACAGAGAGCUUGCUCUCGGGUGACGAGUGGCGGACGGGUGAGUAAUGUCUGGGAAACUGCCUGAUGGAGGGGGAUAACUACUGGAAACGGUGGCUAAUACCGCAUAACGUCGCAAGACCAAAGAGGGGGACCUUCGGGCCUCUUGCCAUCAGAUGUGCCCAGAUGGGAUUAGCUUGUUGGUGAGGUAACGGCUCACCAAGGCGACGAUCCCUAGCUGGUCUGAGAGGAUGACCAGCCACACUGGAACUGAGACACGGUCCAGACUCCUACGGGAGGCAGCAGUGGGGAAUAUUGCACAAUGGGCGCAAGCCUGAUGCAGCCAUGCCGCGUGUAUGAAGAAGGCCUUCGGGUUGUAAAGUACUUUCAGCGGGGAGGAAGGUGUUGUGGUUAAUAACCGCAGCAAUUGACGUUACCCGCAGAAGAAGCACCGGCUAACUCCGUGCCAGC